rnacentral:rRNA from 1 species
AUUCCAGCUCCAAUAGUGUAUCUUAACGUUGUUGCAGUUAAAAAGCUCGUAGUUGAAUUUCUGUAGGCUGGCAGUGUUGGUUUGCCCAUACAGCCUCCUACAUCCGCUUUGGAAUCAGGAUGGGUAUUUAUUUACUGGCCUGGUAGAAGAGGCAUUUUACUUUGAAGAAAUUAGAGUGUUCCAAGCAGGCUUUGCUUGAAUACAUCAGCAUGGAAUAAUGGAAUAGGACGUUUUGAAUUUUAGAGAUUGGUUCAAGCGUAAUGAUUAACAGGGACAGUUGGGGGCAUUCGUAUUCAUUAGUCAGAGGUGAAAUUCUUGGAUUUGAUGAAGACGAACUAAUGCGAAAGCAUUUGCCAAGGAUGUUUUCAUCA